rnacentral:misc_RNA from 1 species
GAGAGGAAGGCAAAUGCCUAAGUUACUUCUUUUUUUUUUUCACAAGCCAACCAAUUUUAUUAAUAAAAUAUACAGGGAAAAACUUAGCAGGCAUAGUCUAAGCUAAAAUGCAGUACACCCAACCUUGGAUGAGCCAUACUAAGUAAAAAUACCCGGAAAAAAGUUACUUUCCUCUUAUAACCUUAUUAACAAGGUUAGCCCAUAAAUCCAACCAUCCCUUGUUGCCAGCAACAAGAAACAAACAUAUAUAGGCAUUAGUAGUUAAAACAGUUAUUUGUUGAUGCAAGGAAAUGCAGUUCCCAUGAAGGACAUCCUCUUAACGAAUCGACCUUUCAUUCUAGGCCUUUUCUCUGCAUUCAGUUUCCUCACCUCGUAUCUUAUCUUCUUUGAAAAUAAUCUUGUCCUUCGCUUCUCCUUGUACCUUAAUACUCUUGCUUCUCUUCCUCCAUUGCCACCUCCUGUGUGUCCUCCCAGGACCCCAUAUGGGUGGUGAUGAGCAUUAGGGCAUGUACCCUAUAACAUCACAAAUAGAAAGAUAACUAAUUAUAUAGAUCAAUUAAAACUUCUAAUCAAUUUUGCAUAGCCAUUUUAUUAAAGACUAUAUUGAUGCACUACAAUGACGUUCAAAUUAGCUAAGCAUGCUUGAGAGAAAGACAAGUAGUGUAUAUAUACCAUGUAGUGAGGCCAGCAAUCAUCAGGAUUGAGCUCUGGUCGGCUUCCUGUAGUCCAUGGAGAGCCAUGGCUGGCCCAGGCAGUGAUAACUGCUUCAUAAUCUAGCCUCAAAGAUACGUUUCUUCCCAUUUCUUUCGUGUUUCCACUAUUCAUCAUGGUCGUGUCAGUCACAGAUGGUACUGCCUUCUCCUCCUCUUCUUCAUCUCCAGUUAUCGGUGACUCGUAAUUGAAAUUCCAAUCAAAUGGUUCUCUUGCUAUGUCGAAAGCUUGAUCGAAAUGGCAAUCUGUGAAUGCUUCAAGUUCUUGUUCAUCCUUGACCUUCACUACUUUGUCCUCAAAACAAAACUUGUCAUCAUCUUCCUCUUUAUAAUCUAACAACCCAAAAUCCUUGAUAUCAGGAGAAUUGUCCUCAAGUCCUCUUCCAAGUAGGUUCUCAACAUCCGCAGCAAACUCAGCAAGAUCCAUAUCUGAAGGUACAAACGCAGGUAAAUUAUUCAGGUCACAUUUAGUUCCUCCCUGUCCACAACCAUCGAAAACCAUAUUUCCCUCUUCGUUCCCCAUGGCUAUUUCGUUUCCUUCACAUGCUAUCAUAUCAUCAGUGCAUAGUUCUGCAGCAAAAUGAUCAAACACAGGAACCCUAUACAGCAACUGAUCUUCAUCUUCGUCGACAACAGUAUUACCCUCUUCUUCACUGUCAAUCUCAGGAACAAGAGGAAGAGAAUUCAUUAAGAUUUUCUCUUCAUCUUUAAGUUGUUGAUGUGCUAAUAAAGACUUCUUGUUGUUGUGCCUUGGGGUUCUUGCCUUUUUAGUGAACCCUUGAAGCCAAGGGUGAGAAUCCACACUGUUUAUCGAACCACUUGUCUUAGAAGAAGCAGUUUCGAGCCGGACCCUUUCAUGCCUGCUGGCUAACUGGUUGGCGGAAUGGACUGAUUCAUCACAGGCCUGGCAAAGAAAAGCGUCAUCAGAAGCGCAGAACCACCGAGCUCUCUUGCGGGAACAACCAUCGCAAGGUCGAGCAGUCUUGCCUGCCAGGGCUUUUGCUGCUUUCCUUUCAGUAAUCAUUGAAGAGAUUUUUGUGUAGAAAUCGAAUUAGCCAAAGGGAGGAUUGAAGGGCUAACGAAAAGUCAAGGUGACCGUUAAAAAGAGUAACAGGGUGUCUUGUAUUAAAUUUGGGGGGCCAUUUGAUACAAUUAUUGAUUAGAGAGAGAAGUGUCGUUUUAGGAUUCUGACCAACAAUUGU